rnacentral:misc_RNA from 1 species
GAUGAAGUACGUAGCGAAAUGCGAUAAGUAAUGUGAAUUGCAGAAUUCAGUGAAUCAUCGAAUCUUUGAACGCACAUUGCGCCCGCCAGUAUUCUGGCGGGCAUGCCUGUUCGAGCGUCAUUACAACCCUCAGGCCCCCGGGCCUGGCGUUGGGGAUCGGCGGAAGCCCCCUGCGGGCACAACGCCGUCCCCCAAAUACAGUGGCGGUCCCGCCGCAGCUUCCAUUGCGUAGUAGCUAACACCUCGCAACUGGAGAGCGGCGCGGCCACGCCGUAAAACACCCAACUUCUGAAUGUUGACCUCGAAUCAGGUAGGAAUACCCGCUGAACUUAAGCAUAUCAAUAAGCGGAGGA